GACCAGGAAGGAUCUAGGAAGCCAGGCAGUGCCCCCGAAGACACUUCAUAGAGCAGGUUGCACACUACUCUAGAGCCAAGCAAGGUGACAAAUCCUCACCUCAUCGGCUGCAUACCGUGCCAAGAGCAGCUUUCCCCCCCACCCCCGAGCAUUGGGCCGUCUGCCCCAAAAUACUCCGGUUGUGGAAGAGGGCCUACAGAACUUUGACUUUUCGGCAGCUUUGAAAAGAUGGGGGAGAUAACCUUUGCAGCCCUUGUGCUGCUGCUUAGGUCAGGUAAAGAGCGGGGUGCCCUGCCCGUGAUUUCAACGGGGGGGACGGGGGGUUGCGUGCUCCCUGCCUGGCAGCUUUUGGCAGCAGCCUAGCCGGGCAGCCCUCGCCUGACGGGAACGCGGGGGGAAAGGCAGCUUCAGCCCUAGCGGUACCAAGAGAUGGCAGAAAAUGCUGCGUUUCCAGCUUCCCCCCCUUUUAAAAACCCCUUCUUGAAAA